CCUACGGGGCGCAGCAGUGGGGAAUAUUGCACAAUGGGGGAAACCCUGAUGCAGCGACGCCGCGUGAGUGAAGAAGUAAUUCGUUAUGUAAAGCUCUAUCAGCAGGGAAGAAAAUGACGGUACCUGAGUAAGAAGCCCCGGCUAACUACGUGCCAGCAGCCGCGGUAAUACGUAGGGGGCAAGCGUUAUCCGGAUUUACUGGGUGUAAAGGGCGUGCAGCCGGGCCGACAAGUCAGAUGUGAAAUCCGCGGGCUUAACCCGCGAACUGCAUUUGAAACUAUUGGUCUUGAGUACCGGAGAGGUCAUCGGAAUUCCUUGUGUAGCGGUGAAAUGCGUAGAUAUAAGGAAGAACACCAGUGGCGAAGGCGGAUGACUGGACGGCAACUGACGGUGAGGCGCGAAAGCGUGGGGAGCAAACAGGAUUAGAUACCCCAGUAGUC
rnacentral:rRNA from 1 species